rnacentral:rRNA from 1 species
UACGUAGGGGGCAAGCGUUGUCCGGAAUUAUUGGGCGUAAAGAGCGCGUAGGCGGUCCGAUAAGUCGGCUGUGAAAGUCAAGGGCUCAACCCUUGAAAGCCGGCCGAUACUGUCGGACUAGAGUCCGGAAGAGGCGAGUGGAAUUCCCGGUGUAGCGGUGAAAUGCGCAGAUAUCGGGAGGAACACCAACGGCGAAGGCAGCUCGCUGGGACGGUACUGACGCUGACGGCGCGAAAGCGUGGGAGCGAACGAG